rnacentral:pre_miRNA from 1 species
AAUAAGGUCAUUUUUUAGUUUUUAGAUAUAACGUUUUGACUAUUCAUCUUAUUUAAAUUUUUUUACAAUUAACAUUUUUAUUGUUACUAGAUGAUAAAAUAUGAAUACUACUUUAUACGUGACUAUUUUUUUAAAAUUUUUCAUAAAAUUUUCAAAUAAGACGAAUGAUCAAAUCAUUGAACAUAGAAAUU